rnacentral:rRNA from 1 species
UACGAAGGGGGCUAGCGUUGUUCGGAAUUACUGGGCGUAAAGGGCGCGUAGGCGGUUGCUCAAGUCAGGCGUGAAAGCCCCGGGCUCAACCUGGGAACAGCGCUUGAGACUGGGCGGCUUGAGUUCGGGAGAGGUGAGUGGAAUUCCCAGUGUAGAGGUGAAAUUCGUAGAUAUCUGGAGGAACACCGGUGGCGAAGGCGGCAUCCUGGACCGGCAUUGACGCUGAGGCGCGAAAGCCAGGGGAGCAAACGGG